GUCGGAAGGGGCCUGUGGCGCAAUGGCCCGGAAGGCAGUGACACCAUCGUUCCCGUCCUAAGAACCAUCCGGCCCUUUGGGGAAGACUGGCUGCUGGGGAGGGCCGAGGGGCCGGGUACUCAGGCAUAGCGACCCCAGGGCACCUUCGUCGCCUCCCCAGGCCCACUCCCCAAAGCCAGGCCCUGUCUCUGUAGACGGGCUCCACGGGGGAGAACUGGACACUUGGAGCAAGAGAAACAGGAGGCCAGCAUUCAAGCCUGCUGAGGUGCUGCGUGACCUGAGGCAAGUCAUGUAAACUCUCUGGGCCUCAGAGACCCCCAACUAUAAAAUGAGGAUGAGAAAAGUCUUUCCCAGCCCACCUCACAGGGUUGCUGCCAUCAUGGACAUAAAAGGAAAAGACCUUUGAAGGAAAAAGCAAAGAUGAAGAGUUCAGCACUUUCCUGGAAAAUUGACUAAAAAAGAAAAAGCCACUGGUACUUCUUUUAAAGAGUUCGCUUCAGAAUGAAUUCCACACGAGCAGCACCUGACGGUCUGAGAGAAAGAGAUUGGUCUUCAUGGAAAGGGGCAGUCCUACCUUUUGCAAAAACAGACAAAUCACAGUGAGUUCUCAGUCUGUCAUUUGACCUAUAUUUGAGUACCCACUGUGUGUGUUGGGCACAGGCUAGGUGUGGAGGAUAAAGUAGAGAGAAGGAAAAUGCUUCUGGUCAAAGGAACCUGCACCGAAUGUCUUUUUAUAGCCAGGUUUUGAAGGGUGAGUAAACGCACACGCUCACACAUGUGCAUACAAGGGCCAACACCCGGCACAUGGAAGGGUCUGGAAGACCCAUCGAUGGACCACCCAUUUCUCACCCCAGGCCACAGAAGAGAGCACCUGACUCACCUUCGCUUUUGUGGUGUAGCAAUGCAUCUGUGUCCUGAACAGGACCAUCAGAAUCCUUCCCUGGGAUGACGUCAGACUCAGGAAGCAUACGUCUGUCACAUGGCUGGGAUAUCACUAAUCUGCCGCUAUGGAAAACCACCUUCCCCAGCCUCACAGGCGGAGGUGGGGGGUCCUGCAGAGCGGACAAGAAUGUGGCCAGUGCAGCCAGGGAGGCUGAGGGGUCUCCCUGAGCCCUGAUCCCUGUUGAAGCCAGGGACAUACAUGUGGUGUGUCCCAGCCACAUGGGACAAGACACAGGUCCCCUCUUUGCUAGCUGCGCUGGUUUUCUGGCACUUGGAGCUGGGAGUCCUUCGUCCCACACAAGCAUGAAGAUAGAGGCAGGAGGCACGGAGGACAGGGAGGAAGGAAGUUGGUUGGACUCAGAACCUUCCCUUGGUGCCAGCUGCAUGGGCACAGCAAGUAUCGCAAAACCCCAGAGUCUUUGCCCAAGAAGGAGACAACUGCAGAAGAUGGUGGGAAGAGGCCAGGGUCCCAGUGGGGCUGUCUACAAAUGACAGCCCUGAUCCCAAGGGGAAGUCUGGGACACAGAGGUGGGGCUCCCUGGGAGGCUGACCACCACCUGGGGGAAGUGCCCUGGGACAGGCGCUGUGGAAGGUGGCUUUCCUCCCCGUCCUGUUCUCGGAGAGACACUAAGGAAACUCUGGGUGUUUAUUCUGAUACAGAAAAGAGAAACAAAUCAGGUAGUUCUGAGGGAGAGAGAAGGCCAUCAGCGCUUGCUCCAUCCAAAGGCCUGCUGGUGGUCAUUCAAUGGGUGAUACAGGGUGACUGGCCAGGGCCAGGACACUCUGUCCACAGAACAAGCAUAUACAGAAGGAAGGCAGAAUAAUGUGUCAUUAAACACAAGUGCUGGGCGCCUCCACAGUCAAGAAGGCAGAGCCUAGUAACCGAGAGGCGAAAACAACCCAAAUGGCCUUUAACAGAUAAUACAGCUGGGCGCGGUGGCUCAUGCCUAUUAUCCCAGCACUUUGGGAGGCUGAGGCAGGUGGAUCACUUGAGGUCAGGAGUUCAAAAUCAGCCUGGCCAACAUGGUGAAACCCCAUCUCUACUAAAAGUACAAAAAUUAGCUGGGCAUGGUGGCGGGCGCCUGUAAUCCCAGCUACUCAGGAGGCUAAGACAAGAGAAUCU